GUGCAUGCUUUGCUGUUGCAAUGACUGUAGAGUGAUUUCUUUGUUAAUGUUGUUGUGGUUUCAUCCAAUACUCUAUCUA